UAAAUAAGAGACAAUUCUGUCAUCAAAAAGACAAGGCAUUUCAGGCUUCACAGGGUUAAGACCAUCCUGUCGACACAUUAUCAUUGUGUGUGUGAGAACAGACACUAGGUUCAACACCAUCACCCUGGUGACAGCCAGUGUCCCUGAUGAGAAGAUCCCUCACGAGGCUUGUAUCACAGACGAUGACCUCACCGCAGAUUCAGAGGGCUGAUCUGUCACUAUGACUUCUCGAUGGACCUGUCUACCAUCUGCAGGUCCAACUACAUAGACUCCUUUGGAUACAAUAACAUUGGCUUGGUGAUGCCGUAUGACAUCCUGAAUGGCCCUUAGGUUGGCAUUUGAUACUCUGUUCUUUUAGGACCAGUUGCUCUGGAAAGAUAUGCAUUGAAUUUGCUAUUUCAAGAUGAUCUGCGGUCAUAUUCCUUGAAACUAAUCAAUAAUUCAGUCAUAAAUUGUCAUUUCAAAAUUGUGCUUUCGGAUGACCUGUUAAGAUGUAUGGAUUAUAUGGACUAGAAUUGUAUAAAUGUUUGCUUACUA